rnacentral:lncRNA from 1 species
CACACACACACACACACACACACACACACACUCACGAGGGAGGCAAAACAAUAUAAAAGCCACAGUUUGGGGAGAUUUGUAGGGGGGAAAAUCUGAUUAAGGCAUAACUAUUGUAUUCUUAAAUUGAAACUAUCUGUAAUUAUCUCUUUAAGAACUACACAUGAUUGAGUUCACAAUCAUAUCAUCACAGAUAUAGCGGGGGUUCCAUCCUUACUGACAGUUAACAGUUGUUGGGGAGACCUACCAUUUUCUUCAAUGACAUAACCACAGGACUUCCCUCCCAUGAUCAGGCAAAACCAUUAAUUAGAUUCAGUAGUCAGACACAAAAAGAAGAGAUAAAUGUAAGGGAAAUACUGGCUGCAAAGGGUUCCAGUGGGAAAGAAAGGAGAAAGCAGGAAAUGUUGCUAGUUUAUAUUUAAUUUAAAUUUUUUCAGUAGUAUCGUUUAAUGUAUUCUGCUUGUAGGAUACAUAGUUUCAGGUAUCUGGGUAAUACAGCAGGUUACAGAUCAGGUUGGAUUUUGACUGGCAAACAUGCAGAAAGCAAUGGGGUUAUUAUUAGACAAAAGGUGAUUUAUGAAGGCUUCCAGCUCUGCCGCCAGCUUAUUGCCCAUCGUGAAGAGCAACUCUCUUGCAAACUCAAGGAGAAGACUCUGUGACUCUCGUCCUCUCUCAAGGAGUAUGGACACCUGCCUCACAGGAAGAAGUGGGACCAGGAUUCCUGGAAGCUUCAUAUACCAGAAGCUUGGGCUCUGGCAUGGAUGGCAUUGUUGAGGUCAUAGAAUCCUCAAGAAACAUGGCUUAAAAUAAUUCAUAGUAUUCUAGGCUUGGUUUAUUCCUCAGAAAAAAUUAAGUUGGAGUCUAGAAAACCUUGGAUGAAGAGAAUGUGAUUAAGACAAGCAUGUGGACCUGAGUUCAAUUCCCAGGACCCACGUAAAUCCAGUCAUGGUGGUGAGCGUUUGUGUUCCAAGUCAUGGGGACUCAGAUACGGGAGGAACCCUGAAGCUUUUUGGUCGGCUCACUGGUGAACUCCUGGUUCAGGGUAAGAACCCAUGUCAAAUCAAUCGGAAAGCAAUAAAAUAAAACAUCAUAUAUUAAUCUGUAGCCUCAAAAAGUACAUGGACAUAAAAAUCGGGUUUCUCUGUGUACCAACGCUGGCUUUCCUGGAACUCACUUUAAAGAAACAGGCUAGAGUGGAAAUCACAGAUAUCUGCCUCUGAAUCCCCCCGACCCCCAGUCCAACCCUACUUGCUGAGAUUAUAAGCCACUACACCCCUGGCUAUUGCCUACUUUA